ACGGAAAGGCCCUGCUUGCAGGGUACUCGAGUGGCGAACGGGUGAGUAACACGUGGGUGAUCUGCCCUGCACUUCGGGAUAAGCUUGGGAAACUGGGUCUAAUACCGGAUAGGAGCCAUCUUUAGUGUGGUGGUUGGAAAGUUUUUUCGGUGUAGGAUGAGCUCGCGGCCUAUCAGCUUGUUGGUGGGGUAAUGGCCUACCAAGGCGGCGACGGGUAGCCGGCCUGAGAGGGUGUACGGCCACAUUGGGACUGAGAUACGGCCCAGACUCCUACGGGAGGCAGCAGUGGGGAAUAUUGCACAAUGGGCGCAAGCCUGAUGCAGCGACGCCGCGUGGGGGAUGAAGGCCUUCGGGUUGUAAACUCCUUUCGCUAGGGACGAAGCUUUGUUGUGACGGUACCUAGAUAAGAAGCACCGGCUAACUACGUGCCAGCAGCCGCGGUAAUACGUAGGGUGCGAGCGUUGUCCGGAAUUACUGGGCGUAAAGGGCUCGUAGGUGGUUUGUCGCGUCGUCUGUGAAAUUCUGGGGCUUAACUCCGGGCGUGCAGGCGAUACGGGCAUAACUUGAGUGCUGUAGGGGUAACUGGAAUUCCUGGUGUAGCGGUGAAAUGCGCAGAUAUCAGGAGGAACACCGAUGGCGAAGGCAGGUUACUG
rnacentral:rRNA from 1 species